CGAAGAUGGCGGUCAGCGAGGAAACCAUUUUGAAUGUUUUGAUGAAUGAGACGAUGGUUCAACGUUAGCUGAUCUGGUUGGACUUGGGAUCCGGAACGAGCCGAAUGUUGCGGGAGCUAAUUCUACAUCGCAGCGCCCGCCGCAGCCAAUCUGAUUCCAUCAACAGCUUCACGUUGAAAUGCGGCGAGGAGAAUGAGUGCAAGGUCAAGAAGUUUCCAGUUCGUAAAACGCUUUGAAAUCCACGCGGAUGGUGCAGCUCUCAACCUUGGACAACCCAGUCUUCAUCGUAACAAACUGGUGUGGGAGUUGUGCCUGUGGGAGGUGUCUGUGAUAUAUUUUUGAUGGCGUUAAUGAGAAAGUAUCCAUUCAAUGAGAGCCAUUCGUAUAUUCUGUUUAUACGAGAUCUAAACGUAAAAACAUGGUAGUUCUGAUAUAGUGCAUGUAGGCGUUGGGACAUGCAUUAUCAUCGUACAGGGAACCACCGCGUUUGGAACAUCCGAUAUGCGUACACUCAGGCUUAAAAGUUCAGUAUCAAGGCUAUUUAUUUUAUUAUUUCUUAGUUCUAACUAAUAUAAGAAACAAGUGAUGAAUUCUGGGGACUUCCUCAAUGCAAAAGAUGUACUUAAUUAUCACCUGGUAUGGCGGGAGACCUAGUAUGCAUCAGCAGGUGUAAGUUAAGACUGCGUCUCUAAAAUAUCAUUUCAUACACA